rnacentral:rRNA from 1 species
AUUGAACGCUGGCGGCAUGCCUAACACAUGCAAGUCGAACGAAGGCUUCGGCCUUAGUGGCGCACGGGUGCGUAACGCGUGGGAAUCUGCCCUUGGGUACGGAAUAACUCUCCGAAAGGAGUGCUAAUACCGUAUGAUGUCGCAAGACCAAAGAUUUAUCGCCCAGGGAUGAGCCCGCGUAGGAUUAGGUAGUUGGUGGGGUAAAGGCUCACCAAGCCGACGAUCCUUAGCUGGUCUGAGAGGAUGAUCAGCCACACUGGGACUGAGACACGGCCCAGACUCCUACGGGAGGCAGCAGUGGGGAAUAUUGGACAAUGGGCGAAAGCCUGAUCCAGCAAUGCCGCGUGAGUGAUGAAGGCCUUAGGGUUGUAAAGCUCUUUUACCCGGGAAGAUAAUGACUGUACCGGGAGAAUAAGCCCCGGCUAACUCCGUGCCAGCAGCCGCAGUAA